AAAGUCUGAAAUUCCUUUUUCAUCCGCAAUAAACAAAUUUUUCCCUUUCAGUCUUUCCCCCUCACAGAAUUUCCCCAAAUUUUUUUCCCUCUGUCUUUUCUCUCUCACGGUAAUCUCUCUUUCUUCCCUCACUCCUCUUCUCUCUUUUUCCCCUCUAUCGGACCCAUCUGCCACCGCCACCCAUUGCACAGCCACCCAUCUGCCACCGAUGCUAGCCACCGCCGCCGCCGUCGUCGUCGACCUCCAAUGUCGCCGUUAGGUGCGACUUGGUUUCAGUAUUUGGUCUUUUGGCCUUCAAUCCAGCUACUUUCCCUUAUCCUUUCAGCCAAUUAUAUAUCACACUCAAGCAUUUUACUCAUUCGAUGCCAUUCUGCUUGGAGCGUUUUAUCUCCUUCUCAUAGCUACUUUCCCUGACUCAAUCGGAGCAUGUUUUGGUCACAUUGAUUUCACCUUCUAAUUCAAGGUCUAUUACGUGGACAUGUUUAUUUCUUCCUACGGUAUAUACAAGAUUUUGUAAUCAACGUUAUUUUUCUUGGAUGUCUAAUUAGCCGUGACUGAAUUUUUCCAGGUCGCGCUAGAUAAAUUGGUUAAACCAUCAAACACUGUCACUGACUACAACACCAGGUUUAGUGGAAUCACAUGUGAGUUGCUAAAUGGGGUGACUACAAGCCUUAAGGAAAUUCAGGAAGAUUUUCUAAAGCUGGUUUACAAAGAGACCAUCCUUGUUGGGCAUUCCUUGGAGAAUGACUUGUUAGCAUUAAAGAUCUCUCAUGGUUUGGUGAUAGAUACUGCAGUAUUGUACAA